ACUUGCUCCAUUAAUGAGCUGUUUGUUAGCCCUGCUUAGAAGCUCAGUGUUCAUGUUCUAUCUGGAGAGAAGAGCAGUGAAGCUGUCUCUUCAGGGGGAUAAGAUGACUGGUAGAGAUGAUAGGGUCUCCUAGAGAUCCCAAGGGGGAGGGCUGAUCAGCUGCUUCAGUGUUUUGAAAGGUCAGGUUUAAUGAGCUGUAAGGGGAGGAGAUUCAGACAAAUCUCAAGAAUCUGUUUUAAUUCAUUGAAGUGCUGAAGGUAGCUGAAAAGCCUUUUUCUUUCCUCAAGCCCAGGGCAUGCCAACUCAACUGAAACUGUAAUAGGGGAUGCAAGAGAUGGUAUCAUCAAGUGAGGCUCUACAUGUCAUAGAAAACCUUAAUUCAUGGAUUUCCUUUUGAGUAUGAGAACAAAUUGAGUCCAGGAUGGGAGGAAUUAGAGAACAGCACUUGUGGGAUAACAGCAGAUGUGCUACAAACACAGGAGUACAGCAGCACUGCAAAUAAAACUACAGUAACAGCCAGCAGUUUGGAAAGAGAUGCUUGCAACAGCAUGGAGCAUCCAGUUACAUGGAUGUAAGUUUAGGAAGAGACCCCGGAGUGACAGCAAAGGGCUGUUCUUACAAACCUGGGCUAAAUACAGAGUCACUGAGCAGAACAAAAGGGCAGAGGAGCAAUGCAGAGCCCCCCGAAGGAUGUGCUGUGCGCCCUGUAGGCAGCUGUUCUCCAGUCAUGGGCCCAAAGGAAGACUGAAAUACUCAAUUCUGCAAAAUCUCUCACGAACAGAGAUCCAUCAAAGACUUCCCUACUGA
rnacentral:lncRNA from 1 species